rnacentral:rRNA from 4 species
CAGCAGAGAGACCCGCGAAC